rnacentral:rRNA from 1 species
GACGAACGCUGGCGGCGUGCUUAACACAUGCAAGUCGAACGAGGAAAAGCAAUAAGUUUACUUAAUGUUAAUUCUAGUGGCGAACGGGUGAGUAACGCGUGAGUAAUCUGCCCAUAAGCGGGGGAUACCAAAUGGAAACAUUUGCUAAUACCGCAUACGGUUGCAGCUGCGCAGGCAGCAGCAAUGAAAGACGGCCUCUCGAAGAAGCUGCCACUUAUGGAUGAGCUCGCGUCUGAUUAGCUGGUUGGCAGGGUAAAGGCCUACCAAGGCAACGAUCAGUAGCCGGCCUGAGAGGGUGACCGGCCACACUGGGACUGAGACACGGCCCAGACUCCUACGGGAGGCAGCAGUGGGGAAUAUUGCGCGAUGGGGGAAACCCUGACGCAGCGACGCCGCGUGAGCGAAGAAGGCCUUAGGGUUGUAAAGCUCUGUUUUAAGGGACGAAGAUGUAGAUAAGUAACUGUAUAUACAUAGACGGUACCUUAAGAGGAAGCCCCGG